AUGCAAGUCGAGCGGCAGCGCGGGGCAACCUGGCGGCGAGCGGCGAACGGGUGAGUAACACAUCGGAACAUGUCCAGUCGUGGGGGAUAGCCCGCCGAAAGGCGGAUCAAUACCGCAUACGCCCGAGAGGGGAAAGCGGGGGACCGUAAGGCCUCGCGCGAUUGGGUUGGCCGAUGUCCGAUUAGCUUGUUGGUGAGGUAAAAGCUCACCAAGGCGAUGAUCGGUAGCUGGUCUGAGAGGAUGAUCAGCCACACUGGGACUGAGACACGGCCCAGACUCCUACGGGAGGCAGCAGUGGGGAAUUUUGGACAAUGGGGGCAACCCUGAUCCAGCCAUUCCGCGUGAGUGAAGAAGGCCUUCGGGUUGUAAAGCUCUUUUGUCCGGAACGAAACGGUGCAGGUGAAUAUCCUGCGCUACUGACGGUACCGGAAGAAUAAGCACCGGCUAACUACGUGCCAGCAGCCGCGGUAAUACGUAGGGUGCAAGCGUUAAUCGGAAUUACUGGGCGUAAAGCGUGCGCAGGCGGUUUUGUAAGCCAGAUGUGAAAUCCCCGGGCUUAACCUGGGAAUGGCAUUUGGGACUGCAAGGCUUGAGUACGGCAGAGGGGACUAGAAUUCCUGGUGUAGCAGUGAAAUGCGUAGAUAUCAGGAGGAAUACCGAUGGCGAAGGCAGGUCCCUGGGCUGAUACUGACGCUCAUGCACGAAAGCGUGGGGAGCAAACAGGAUUAGAUACCCUGGUAGUCCACGCCCUAAACGAUGUCGACUGGUUG
rnacentral:rRNA from 1 species